rnacentral:lncRNA from 1 species
GGUGGUUAGCAGGAAGAAAUCGAUGAUGACCCAUAUACACGACCUUCCUACAAUGUUUCGAAUACAUGUUGUCUGUGUCGUCUAAACAGUGGGUGUAGGCCCGAUAUCCCUUAUUUGUCUAUCCUGAAAGGUUACUCAGCACAGGCAAAUCAUUGAUGGUUAUGAAUAACAAUGCUCUUAUGUCAAAACUCUCUUGUUUAUCCUCAUCUCACACACGUACAC